AUGUGUUAUUACCGGCUUAGUGCAGUGUUCAAUGGUAAUAUAUCACGUCAGGGAUUGUGGAUCAAUCACGAAGUAAACAGUUUCUUUUAAAUUAUCGUAUGAUUUGAGUUUGUUAAUCAGUUGUGUAUGUCUAUAGUCUAUACGCCUAUACGGACGUUGGAAGCGAUGGCGUCAUGAGAAAUGGAUGGAGGCUGAUAAUAAGAGGAACAAACGCAACAAAAGCAUAGCUAUAAAAAGUAAAAUUUACUACGAGGAGAUAUAGAAGAUGAGAGAAGACAGAUACUUUUAACGCCAGUUGAUUAAUAGAAGCAGAGCUCGAAAAAAAACGCAAUGACAGCGGGAAAUAAUAAACGUAAGAAAAGAAAUGCCGAAUUUUACUACCUACAGGUCGAUGAUUGCUUGGCUAACAACAAAAUAUAUUCAAACUACAGAUAUGGUCAGAUACACUCCGAUAAUGCUAUAAAAAGGGCCUGAACAGAGUUUCUCUUUGUCGUCGUCGUGGUUUCUUUAUGAAGAAUUAAGCCAAGAGAAGCAAAUUGAUAUGAUGAUGAUAAAGUCACUUUCAGGUAAUAUAGCUAUCUCUGAAAAUACAAAGACAGGGCGACUUCGCGUUGGAUAAAUAAAUAUCGUAGAUGUGAAAAGAGACAGCAAUCUAAACCCAAUCUUUAAUUAUUCGUUUCUACUUAAGUUAGUUUGUAAAAUGAUUAAUGAAGAUG